rnacentral:misc_RNA from 1 species
AAGUCGUAACAAGGUUUCCGUAGGUGAACCUGCGGAAGGAUCAUUAGAGAUGCCGGAAGGCUUGAUCACACACACACUUGUGAACUGUCGGUGCGGGUCUGAGAGGACCGGCCGAGCGAUUUUAUAACGUGCUGUGUGGAAUGUGAAUAUUGUAACGUAGAAAACUUUCAACAACGGAUCUCUUGGCUCUC